GCAAGUCGAACGGUAACAGGCCGCAAGGUGCUGACGAGUGGCGAACGGGUGAGUAAUGCAUCGGAACGUGCCCAGUCGUGGGGGAUAACUGCUCGAAAGAGCAGCUAAUACCGCAUACGAUCUGUGGAUGAAAGCGGGGGACCUUCGGGCCUCGCGCGAUUGGAGCGGCCGAUGUCAGAUUAGGUAGUUGGUGGGGUAAAGGCUCACCAAGCCAACGAUCUGUAGCUGGUCUGAGAGGACGACC
rnacentral:rRNA from 1 species